UAUUAUAACAUAACUUCAACAUGCCGGGAAAAGGCUUGAAUUCUCAAGAACGUGUCCCUGUUGGCAAUCUCAUUGAUUUUUUAAGGCUGAAUGAGAUAAUAAUGGUCUGCUCAUUUCUCUAAAUGCAGUCCAAGAGAGAGUUGCUCAUGCCCUGAAAAUCAGCUUAAGAAUUGUAACCGGCAUCAAAGUGUCCAAAGAUCAAAAUUCGCUGCCUUCAACACCUGGAAAAAAUAAGUCUCGCAGAAAAACCAAAACCCUCGACCCGAAUGAGAAUACUAAAAUAGAGGUUCGGAAUGUAUAUGUAUGCACAAAAGAAACAUGUAAUCAUACAACGGCUUAAAGAAGAGCUAUGCCAAAAAGAAAUAGUUGAUAUAAGCUAUGGAUCUCUACAAACCCUGCUUUGUCAUUUGGAGUUUAAAUACAAGAAAGAUGAUAACCGAAGAGCACUAAUGGAGACACCUAAUAUAGCUUCAAUGAGAGCAGUA